GACGAACGCUGGCGGCGUGCCUAAUACAUGCAAGUUGAGCGCUGAAGGUUGGUACUUGUACCAACUGGAUGAGCAGCGAACGGGUGAGUAACGCGUGGGGAAUCUGCCUUUGAGCGGGGGACAACAGUUGGAAACGAAUGCUAAUACCGCAUAAAAACUUUAAACACAAGUUUUAAGUUUGAAAGAUGCAAUUGCAUCACUCAAAGAUGAUCCCGCGUUGUAUUAGCUAGUUGGGGAGGUAAAGGCUAACCAAGGCGAUGAUACAUAGCCGACCUGAGAGGGUGAUCGGCCAAAUUGGGACUGAGACAAGGCCCAAACUCCUACGGGAGGCAGCAGUAGGGAAUCUUCGGCAAUGGACGAAAGUCUGACCGAGCAACGCCGCGUGAGUGAAGAAGGGUUUCGGAUCGUAAAACUCUGUUGGUAGAGAAGAACGUUGGUGAGAGUGGAAAGCUCAUCAAGUGACGGUAACUACCCAGAAAGGGACGGCUAACUACGUG
rnacentral:rRNA from 1 species